UAGGGAAUCUUCCACAAUGGACGAAAGUCUGAUGGAGCAACGCCGCGUGAGCGAUGAAGGCCUUCGGGUCGUAAAGCUCUGUUGUUAGGGAAGAACAAGUACCGGAGUAACUGCCGGUACCUUGACGGUACCUAACCAGAAAGCCACGGCUAACUACGUGCCAGCAGCCGCGGUAAUACGUAGGUGGCAAGCGUUGUCCGGAAUUAUUGGGCGUAAAGCGCGCGCAGGCGGUCCUUUAAGUCUGAUGUGAAAGCCCACGGCUCAACCGUGGAGGGUCAUUGGAAACUGGGGGACUUGAGUGCAGAAGAGGAAAGCGGAAUUCCACGUGUAGCGGUGAAAUGCGUAGAGAUGUGGAGGAACACCAGUGGCGAAGGCGGCUUUCUGGUCUGUAACUGACGCUGAGGCGCGAAAGCGUGGGGAGCAAACAGGAUUAGAUACCCUGGUAGUCCACGCCGUAAACGAUGAGUGCUAAGUGUUAGAGGGUUUCCGCCUUUAGUGCUGCAGC
rnacentral:rRNA from 1 species